UAUGGCUACAUUACAUUGAAAACACUGGUUCACAUAUGAUCACGAAAGUUAAGCAACAUCGAGUAUGGUCAGUACCGAGAUGCAUGACCUCAUGGGAAUAG